AGGGUUCUUACUUGAAAUAUAAGUUUCAUUAUCAGCCUUCUCUCUACUGGCCGGUCGCGUUCAAAAGAAGCUAUGGGAGAAUCUGAAGAGUAUCGUUGCUUCAUUGGUGGACUGGCAUGGGCAACUACUGAUAGAAGUUUAAAAGAUGCAUUUGAAAAGUUUGGUCACCUCGUAGAGGCUAGGGUUGCUGUUGACAAGUUCUCGGGUCGCUCUCGUGGAUUUGGAUUUGUGACUUUUGAUGAGAAGAAGUCAAUGGAAGAAGCCAUUGAGGAAAUGCACGGAGUUGAUUUGGAUGGACGAAGUAUCAAUGUUGAGAAAGCUCAACCCAACCAGGGGGGCUCUGGUAGGGAUCGCGAUGACCGACCCCGUGACCGAGACAGAGAUCGUGGUCGUGAUCAUAGCCGUGACUUUGGAGGAGGAGGAGGCAGAGGAUCUGGUGGUGGUGGAGAUUGUUUUAAGUGUGGCAAGCCAGGUCACUUUGCUAGGGAAUGCCCUGGUGAAGGAGGAGGAGGAGGAGGAGGAGGAGGCAGAUAUGGUGGCAGGGAUGACAGGUAUGGCGGCGGAAGGGAAGACAGGUAUGGUAGCGAUGAUGGAGGUCGUGGUAGCCGCUCUGGCCCAGAGAGGAAUGGGGAUCGGUAUGGAGGACGAAGCAAGGAUUCUGGUGGAGGUGAUCGAUACAGUAGAGAUCGUUCAGGACCAUAUGAGCGUCGAAGUUCAGGAGGACACCGUGGAUGAAAUUUAUUUGAGUUUUGAGAGUUGGAGAACUGAAGGGUCAUGCUGUUAAUCCUUCAUGGAAUUGGAAGCUUGGACACUUCAUUUUUCAGGUUGUCUUCUCGUUUUGAUGUCUGACUAUUGAAAAAAAAUGUAAUGGAAGUGUGAUCUUUGAGACAAUACGCUACUGAUAAUAUUAUGGAUCUUGUACUUGCUUGAUUGCUGCUGGUUGUUUAUUCGGGCUAAUUUACUAUAGAUCUCUGGUUCCUUUUUGGGGUAUAUUGAUUGCAUAUCUUGGUUGGUAUUUAGUACAGUCAAACAUGAGAAAAUUUCCAAGCUGUUUUGGUUAAAACACACUAUGAUCCCCACCAAGCUUGUAGCUGACUUUGUUGCAUAAUACUUGCACUUGAUCGGUUCUUCAACUGUCCUCAAUUAUUCUCUUUUGGUUGGUUCCCUGGUUGGUCCUGAAUGUUCACCAUGAAACCAUGUGGCUCUUGAGCUCCAUUUUUGCCUCAUUAAUUGCAGUUGUCUGUUCACUUUGAAGUCAAAGAUGGCGAUUUCACCUAUAAGUUGUCCACCUAUAUGCUGUCAUGGAGAUAAGAAUAAAGUCUUUCUAUAUUUGCUUUGAUCUUUUGGCACAUGGGAUAUCUCUACUCUUCUAUAAAACCAAGUAUAAUCUCACCCUUUAUUUCUUCUU